rnacentral:lncRNA from 1 species
CGUUUCUCACUUUGCCCCCUUGUGGUUUAAAAUGUAUUAAUUUGCCCCCAUGUGGUUUCGUUUUUAUCUUUUCGAUAGUUUUUUCGUUAAUAUUUCAUUAAAUUAUAUACAAAAAACUUCAGAUAUCUAUCUAAAUUUAUCAAAUAUUCACUUUAGUACCCUUUAAUUUUAACUUUAUCACUGAUUUAAAAAAAAAUAAUGAAAUUGAUAAG